rnacentral:lncRNA from 1 species
GUGUUCACUUCUUCUUCGUUUGGGUUCAGCAUUAAAAUAAACUCGUCGCCAAAUAUAAUGUAUUUCUUUAGUACAAGUUGUACAGUAUAAAAAUGUACUUUUAUUGCCUUCAAUAUCAAAACCCUAUUUUUCUUACACGUGGUCUCUUUCUGAUACCUGUUGCGGAACUUGUGAUUCCACCGUCUGGUUCAUUCAGUAAACGCUCAAGGGACUGUAUUUUAUAAU